rnacentral:tRNA from 2 species
GUGCCCGUAGCUCAAAUGGAUAGAGCGUCAGAUUGCGGAUCUGGAGGUUAGGGGUUCAAGUCCCCUCGGGCACA